rnacentral:misc_RNA from 1 species
CCGAAGGGAGGAUUGCAGGGCAAGAGGGCAUCUUACAAGGACGGAGGAGACACUGGAAAUCGUGAAGAUGAAAUAAAUGAUUUAAUUGAUAAAAUGAAUUGACAUGGAGCAAUUGUACUUCACCUGAGAUUUCCUAGAGGCAUGUAUCACAGUUUAAAGUUAUUGUGUGUUGGAUUUUGCUACUACUAGUACUACUUACGUAGUUCAUUGGUUUAGUUCAAUUUUU